rnacentral:rRNA from 1 species
UACGUAGGUGGCGAGCGUUGUCCGGAUUUACUGGGCGUAAAGCGCGCGCAGGCGGACUGAUCAGUCUGGGGUGAAAUCUCACGGCUCAACUGUGAGCGGUCCCUGGAUACUGUCAGUCUUGAGAUGUCUAGAGGAGAGCGGAAUUCCCGGUGUAGUGGUGGAAUGCGUAGAUAUCGGGAAGAACACCAGUGGCGAAAGCGGCUCUCUGGGGACCAUCUGACGCUGAGGCGCGAAAGCGUGGGAGCGAACCGG